rnacentral:rRNA from 2 species
GGUGAACCUGCGGUAGGAUCAUUG